AGCGAACGCUGGCGGUGUGCCUAACACAUGCAAGUCGAACGUGAAAGGGAGCAAUCCCUAGUCAUGUGGCGUACGGGUGAGUAACACGUAGGUAAUCUACCCCAGAAUCUGGAUUAACCGGCCGAAAGGCUGGCUAAUACUGGAUAGAGCGACGGAAUCCGUACUUGGGUUUUCCGGGAAACGGAGCCUGUUAAACGGCCUUCGUUCUGGGAUGAGCCUGCGUCCCAUCAGCGAGUUGGUGAGGACAAAGCCUACCAAGGCAAAGGCGUGUAGCUGGUCUGGGAGGACGAACCGCCACACUGGGAAUGAAUCACCGGCCAAAACCCUACGGGGGGCAGCGGGGGGGGAUCUUACGCAAUGGAGGAAAGUCUGGCGCAGGAACGCCGCGGGAGUGGAGGAAGCAAUCGGGUUGUAAAGCUCUGUCGAGUGGGAAGAAAAUGCAUGGAGUUCACAGCUCCAGGUACUGACGGUACCACUAAAGGAAGCACCGGCUAACUCCGUG
rnacentral:rRNA from 1 species